UAUAAUGUAAGACUGCAAAGUUCCAGAACUGUUUUACAUAUGUAAGAUGAAAACAGAUCUCUAGAAAUCAGUGUAUAAUUCUGGCUUCUUCUAGAAUUAGAAGUUAGAAUUCUCUGGUGAGAAUUCUACUGCCCAGACAGUGACCAUACCAACAAACAUGCCUCCAGAGGAGGGAUUUCAGGAUUUUUCCUUUAUAAUUAUGUCUACAUGACAUUCUUAAUCCAAUGGGUUACUUGAUGUUUCUAAUCUGGUCAGGUUGAGGGCCAAGGUCAACAGGGAGUGGUUAGGAACAUGAGAUGUCAAGACUAGAGGAUUUGGACCACAGUCUUGAAGUUUGUGAGGCUGAUGACACAUACCAGACCACCAAAGCUGGUUGUUGUGAUGGUUCCAAUUUCCUUUGAGGUGUUGGUGUUGGCUAAAGCAAAAUUGAGAUCACUUUGUCCUGGUUCUUUUAAAGACAAGAUAUCAUCUGGGCAAAUGAUGGCUACUGGGUAUGGCCCACACACCUAGAUGCCAAAGUUUGCCCAGAUUGUUUCUCCGGGAUGGCCCAGACAUCGUGCAGGCUAUGUUUUGAGCCCUUUGAGUUGAUAUCUCCUGGGUUUGAUGUGAAAGGAAAAUUAUACAGAUUUAAAGUUUAAAAAUAUGAAGUUAAAAGAGUAAGUUUCAAAAUUCAUAGACUCAGGGCUAAACACUGUGAAAAGCAAGUCCAGGCAGCCCCGCCCUGCCACUAGGACUAACACACCAUAAAGAUAAAGAAAAGGAAUGCAGGAACCAGCCCGAGAUAUCAGGACUGACUCAAACCAUCUGGCAGAAGGGCACCUCCCCCAGCUUACUCAGAGUCACACCUUAACCAGAUGUCCUUCAAACCCUGAUACGUCCCUAGCUUCUAAAAUCCUGUAUGUUCCAGUCAAUAUGUACUCUCCUGCUAUGCUGUAAUCUCACUGCCAUGUUUAAAUGAGCCAAUCACUUAUAGCAGCGCCAGAAAUUAGCCAAUUGUGUGUAACCGCGCCAAACCCCCUAGCCUUCCCUAUAUAAACCCCUGACUUUUGAGCUUCGGGGUCGACACCUCUGUCUCCUGCACAGGAUACGUGUCGACCCGGAGAUCCCUGUAAUAGAUCUCCGUAAUAAACCUCGCCUUUGCUUAUUACAUCCAAAAUGGUCUCUCUGUGUCUGGGGUCUGCGACUUCCCGAGACUUGAAUAAGGGUCUCUCUUCGGGGAUCUUUCAUUUGGGGGCUCAUCUGGGAUCGGUGUUUUCUGGGGUGCACCAUCCUGAGACUCGAGCUAGGUUCUUUCAGAUGAAGAGAGGCUGAGGCCCACAACUAUAACUCAAAAUUUUUCAAAACCUAUUUUUAAUGAUGGCUGUUAAAUGCUUUAAUCUCCCUUCUAGGCUACUACCCACCAGAGGUAGUGGAAAAAAAAGGCUAUGGGGAAAGUGGACCUGCUUAGAAGUGGUUCUUUGGAGCAACUCCCAUCUGACUUGUCAGAAACAGUUCAGUUCACAGAUCAGCAGUAGCAGCUCAGUCCACUACAAGUACUUCACAAAUAUACCGGUAACUCAGUUCAGUAGAGUUGGGAUAGCAGCAGGUGGCACGACCUAGCAGGAACAGUGCCCCCGCCAUCGGGGACCCAGUUAUUUGUGUGGUCGAGGGGGACCCAUACCUGUGGGAGAAAGGGCAAGAAAGAGGAGCGAGACCAAGCAGUGUCUUUGUCAAGGUCUGUUUAUUGAGAGGAAUGUACAGCAUUUAAAGCUCUGAAGCAGGAAUUGAAGCAGGAACUGAAGCUUAGGGCGGGGGGAGUACUGGGAAGUGCCCAAGGACAUAAGGUGAAUCAUUAAACUGCAAGACCCCAGCUUAGCAGCAGUAACGCCAUUUUGCAAGGCUGUACUUAAGAUGACUGGUUCAGGGAAAGGUUAGAACACUGAGUACACAGCGGCUGCCAAGCAGGAUGUGUUUGGUUGAAGGCCUGGCAACAGGACGACUGCAGUUGAGCACCUGACAAUGAGAAAAGCCCCGGGAGAGGUCCCACACCCUGGUGGGGGGCCGAGUCAGUCGUUCUGUUCCAAGAAGGUAGCUAAGAAACUUGCCCCCGGGCUGAACCCUUGGGGGGCUGAGUCAGCCGUUAUGUUUCAGGAAGGUAGCUAGGAAACUUGCCCCCGGGCUAAACCCUUGCCAUAUUAGAAUCCACCAAUUAUAUCCCUGUAACCAUGCAUCUGCUUCUGUAUGCUUGCUUCUGCUUCCCAAAAUCCUAUAAAAGCCCAUCCUUGGUUCCGUGGGGCGCGCCAGUCCCCCGAGUGACUGAAGCGCCCGCAGGUGCCUGUGCCUGUGUAUCCCGACAAUAAACCAAAUCCUCUUGCUGAUUGCAUCCUGUGGUGUCUCGGUCUGGUCUUUGGAGUUGGAGGGUCUCCAUCCCGAGGGAAAGUUCUCCCUGAGAGCUUUUCAUUUGGUGCGUUGGCCGGGAAAGGAGAUCCUCCACCCAGGGACCACCGACCACCCACUGGGAGGUAAGCCGGCCGACGUCUGUCUGUCUGUCUAAUUUUGUCUCGUUCUACCUUAUUCUGUCUGUUCUGUGAGCGCUCAGCCAGGUCUGUUCUGUGGGCGCUCAGCCAAGUCUGUUCUGUGAGCGCUCAGCCAGGUUUUGUGAGCGCUCAGCCAGGUCUGUUCUGUGAGCGCUCAGCCAGGUUGUUUGGAAUUUGGGCGGGACGAAGAAGGAGCUGACGAGCUCGGACUUCUCGCCCCGCAGCCCUGGAAGACGUUCCAAGGGUGCUAGGGGCCCGACUUUUCGGGCCCCAAUCUGGGAGAGGAGAAAGAUCCGGACUAACGGCACCUCUGUCUGUAUUUUUGGCUUUCAGAGGGCCCCGGACUUUUGCCACCUCUAUCUGACUUUUUGCUUUCAGUUUGGUACCAAAGCCGUGCAGCACGCCUGUCUGUUGUUUGUUUGACUGUUGGUGUUGUUUGUUUUCUCUGUGUUCUAAUCUUCCUUAGAACUAACAUGGGACAGUCCCUAACAACGCCCCUAAGUCUCACUCUUGAUCAUUGGAAAGACGUCCACGACCGGGCACACAACCAGUCCGUCGAGGUUAAAAAAGGAAAAUGGCAGACUCUCUGCACAUCCGAGUGGCCCACCUUCGGAGCCGGAUGGCCAGUGAAUGGCACAUUUAAUAAGAUCAUUAUUUUACAGGUUAAAGAUCGGGUCGUCCACGGACAUCCUGACCAGGUUCCUUAUAUUAUCACUUGGGAGAGUCUUGCCUUAUACCCCCCCCCCCUUGGGCGGAACCCUUCGUGGACCCAAAUUGGCCUCCCCUCAAUCCCCAGCUUGUCCCCUCGGCCCCGCCCGGUUUGCUGGCCCCGUCUUCCUCUCUCUACCCCACUCUAAUUAAAUCAGAGCCUUCUAAGAAACCUGUCCUCCCGGCAGACUCAAACUCCCCUCUCAUAGAUCUUCUCUCUGAAGAUCCUCCUCCCCCAUAUCGUUUACCUACAGGCCCGGCUGAAACGGAGGAGGCAGAGCUGCCGGCCAGAUCAGUUGCCGGGCCACAGUCUGAUAAGGGUUUCUCCCCCGUCGCAGGGAGAUUGCACAAUAAGCGCGAGGUGAUGCCAGAUACAACCUCCCAGGCUUUCCCACUUAGACAGGGAACCGGUGGCCAGACCCAAUACUGGCCGUUUUCAGCAGCUGACAUUUACAAUUGGAAACAACACAACCCUUCUUUCUCCAAAGAUCCGGUGACACUCACCGACCUAAUAGAAUCUGUUUUACUUACCCACCAGCCUACUUGGGAUGACUGCCAACAGCUCUUACAGGCCCUCUUAACCUCAGAAAAAAACAAAGAGUGUUCCUAGAGGCCAGAAAGCAUGUUCUGGGAGAUGAUGGGCGUCCCACCCAGCUGCCUGAAAAAAUUGAUGCUGCAUUCCCACUUAAGAGACCAAACUGGGAUUUUAAUACAGCUGAAGGUAAGGGACACCUACGCCUUUAUCGCCAGUUGCUUCUAGCGGGUCUCCGAGGGGCUAUACGACGCCCUACUAAUUUGGCUCAGGUAAAACAGGUAUUACAGGAAGCAGGGGAAACUCCCUCCGCCUUUCUAGAGAGACUUAAGGAGGCCUACCGUAUGUACACUCCCUAUGACCCAGAUGACCCAGGACAAAUGACGAGUGUCUCUAUGUCCUUCAUCUGGCAGGCUGCUCCAGAUAUCAGGACUAAGUUACAGAGGUUAAAAAAUUUGCAGGGCUAUACAUUACAGGAUUUACUUAAAGAAGCUGAAAAGAUUUUUAAUAAGAGAGAAAAUUGAGUCGAAUCUUGGCCGCCGUAGUUCAGGGCCAAGAAAGGAAGGGAGAUAGGGGGGAGCUCGAAAGGGGCUGAAGCUGGAUAAAGAUCAAUGUGCCUAUUACAAAGAGAAAGGGCACUGGGCCAGAGAGUGCCCCAAGAAGCCUGGCGGACCCCGAAAGCCUCGACCACGAACCUCCCUCUUGGCUCUAGAUAAAGAUUAGGGAGGUCAGGGCCAGGAGCCCCCCCUGAGCCCAGGGUAACGCUUAAAGUUGGGGGGCAGCCGGUUGCUUUCCUGAUAGACACAGGAGCCCAGCAUUCAGUCCUCACUCAAGCUUCAGGACAACUCAGCGACCGGACGGCCUGGGUACAAGGAGCUACUGGUGAGAAACAAUACCGAUGGACUACGGACCGCCGGGUUCAGCUGGCUACUGGUAAGGUGACCCAUUCCUUCUUACAUGUUCCGGACUGCCCGUACCCUCUGCUGGGCCGUGACCUGCUCACCAAACUAAAAGCACAAAUUCAUUUUGAGGAAGGAGGGGCCCAAAUAACUGGCCCCCACGGAACUCCCCUUCAAGUUCUAACCCUAUGAACUGGGACAGGACACUGGCUUGGACAGAGACUGGUGGGAUGGGGUUGGCGCUCCAACAGCCCCCCUUAAUUACAACUCCAGUCUCCAUAAAACAAUACCCCCUGUCCCAUGAAGCUUAUCAAGGUAUAAGGCCUCACAUUACGAGGCUUCUGGAUCAAGGCAUCCUAGUCCCCUGCCGGUCGCCUUGGAAUACGCCUCUUCUGCCUGUUAAGAAACCCAGCACUGGAGAUUAUAGGCCAGUACAAGACUUGAGAGAGGUCAACAAGAGGGUAGAAGAUAUUCAUCCGACUGUUCCAAACCCUUACAAUUUGCUCCUGACUUUAGGGUUCAGCAUCCCACCCUCAUACUCCUACAAACCUUUUGAACUGUUCAUCGAUGAGAAACAGGGGUAUGCUAAAGGGGUCCUAACACAAAGGUUGGGACCCUGAAAACGCCCUGUGGCCUACCUGUCUAAGAAAUUGGACCCUGUGGCCUCCGGCUGGCCACCGUGCCUAAAGAUGGUGGCUGCUAUUGCUGUCCUGAUCAAGGACGCUGGAAAAUUGACUUUGGGACAGCCACUCACCAUCCUAGCACCCCAUGCAGUGGAGGCCUUGGUAAAGCAGCCCCCAGACCGCUGGCUCUCUAAUUCUCACACCAAGCCUUGUUACUGGAUGCAGAACGGGUUCAGUUUGGGCCUGUAGUUGCCCUCAAUCCUGCCACCUUGCUUCCUCUACCAGAGGAGGCAGAACAGCAUGACUGCCUACAAAUCCUCACAGAAGUACAUGGAACCAGGCCGGACCUAUCGGACCAGCCUCUUCAGAAUGCUGACCACACAUGGUACAUGGAUGGCAGCAGCUUCUUGGCAGAGGGAGAGCAAAAGGCUGGAGCUGCGGUCACUACGGAGGACAAAGUGAUUUGGGCGAAAGCCCUGCCUGCUGGUACCUCCGCACAACGGGCUGAACUCAUCGCCUUGACUCAGGCGCUCAAGAUGACAAAAGGUAAGAGGCUAAAUAUAUAUAUACAGACAGCCGUUAUGCCUUUGCCACGGCACACAUCCACGGGGAGAUCUACCGGAGGCGGGGGCUGCUCACAUCUGAGGGUAAAGAUAUGGCUAAAAUUCUGGCCCUCUUAGAAGCCCUAUUCUUGCCCAAAAGACUGAGUACAUUGUCCAGGACACCAGAAAGGGCACAACCCUGAGACACGAGGAAACCGGCUGGCCGAUGCCACGGCGCGAGAAGCGGCCAUGAACAAACAAAUCUUGCCCUUAAAUAGCCCAGACCAACCCACGCCCCCACCAGUGGGACAAACCAGUUGGGUUUAUGCCCAUGAGGACAUAGAGCUCCUAAAAAAAUGGGGGCCAUCUACCACCCUCAACUAAAACAGUGGGUCUACAAAGGACUUUUGAAUUGAUCUCCUUUUUACAUAAAUUAACCCAUUUGGGGUUUAAGAAGAUGACUAGAUCGGGAAGAGAUAAAUCUGUGUUUUUUUAAAUCGGGACAAAGCGAUACAAAAGGUGACUGAGAGUUACAAAGCGUGCGCUCAGGUUAACCCGGAAAGGACCAUGAUUGGACAAGGAGUUCGUCCUAGGGGACACCGUCCCGACAUCCAUUGGGAAAUUGAUUUUACUGAAAUUAAACCAGGUAUAUAUGGAUACAAGUAUCUCCUAGUGUUUGUAGACACCUUCUCAGGAUGGGUCGAAGCCUUCCCCACAAAGCACGAGACUACAAAAAUGGUCACUAAGAAGCUCCUCGAGGAAAUCUUUCCCAGGUAUGACAUGCCUCAAGCGUUGGGGUCGGACAACGGGCCCGCUUUCGUCUCCCAAGUAAGUCAGUUGGUGGCCAAAUUGCUGGGGAUUGAUUGGAAAUUACAUUGUGCCUAUAGACCCCAGAGUUCAGGUCAGGUAGAACGCAUGAAUAGAACAAUUAAGGAGACUUUAUCCAAACUUGCGCUUACAACUGGCUCAAAGGAUUGGGUGGCCCUCCUUCCCCUAGUUCUAUAUCGGGCCCGGAAUACCCCGGGCCCCCAUGGUCUAACUCCUUUUAAAAUAAUAUAUGGAGCACCACCCCCAUUUGUCCAUUUCUUUGAUUCAACAUUGCUGAUUUUGCUGACAGCCCUUCUCUGAGGGCCCAUUUACAGGCCCUACAGAUUGUGCAGAGAGACGUCUGGAGACCUAUGGCCACUGCUUACCAGGACAAGCUUGAACAUCCGAUGGUGCCACACCCGUUCCAGAUUGGAGACACCGUGUGGGUGCGCAGACACCAGACCAAGAAUCUCGAGCCACGGUGGAAAGGACCCUACACCGUCCUCCUGACUACCCCGACCGCCCUAAAGGUAGACGGAGUCGCGGCUUAGAUCCACGCACCACACGUCAAGACAGUCCGGUCUGAGGAAUUGACUAAUCACAACACUACACCCCAGACAUGGAGAGUUCAGCGCACUCCAAACCCCUUAAAGUUAAAACUCCUACGUGGCUCCUCCUAGCCCUUUUGUGGCCUAGAGUCAGUGGGGGAAUAAGCCCCCACCAGACAGAAAUUUCUUGACCAAGUCGAGUGAAAGAUUUCACUCAAAGUUAGCAAAAAAAAAAAUGGGGGAAUGAAAGACCCCAGCUUAGCAGCAGUAACGCCAUUUUGCAAGGCUGUACUUAAGAUGACUGGUUCAGGGAAAGGUUAGAACACUGAGUACACAGCGGCUGCCAAGCAGGAUGUGUUUGGUUGAAGGCCUGGCAACAGGACGACUGCAGUUGAGCACCUGACAAUGAGAAAAGCCCCGGGAGAGGUCCCACACCCUGGUGGGGGGCCGAGUCAGUCGUUCUGUUCCAAGAAGGUAGCUAAGAAACUUGCCCCCGGGCUGAACCCUUGGGGGGCUGAGUCAGCCGUUAUGUUUCAGGAAGGUAGCUAGGAAACUUGCCCCCGGGCUAAACCCUUGCCAUAUUAGAAUCCACCAAUUAUAUCCCUGUAACCAUGCAUCUGCUUCUGUAUGCUUGCUUCUGCUUCCCAAAAUCCUAUAAAAGCCCAUCCUUGGUUCCGUGGGGCGCGCCAGUCCCCCGAGUGACUGAAGCGCCCGCAGGUGCCUGUGCCUGUGUAUCCCGACAAUAAACCAAAUCCUCUUGCUGAUU